CCAUCUGCCACCCUACACUCUCAAUCCCUAAGUAAAACGGAUUCUCUGGAGAGACGCAGCACAUCGCCUGUGGCUCUGCAGCCCCCACCACAUUGUAGCGUACCCCCGUGGAGGAGUUUGGGGUCACACACUUACCGGCAUGGUGGCUGCCUGGCUGAGCCCGGGGACAGCAUGUACUCAUCCGAAGAGGGGACCCAUGACCGUGGUGUGCCCAGCACAAGAGCUCGCUUGGGAUCUCUGAUAAAGGAAGUCCACCAUGCAGGGUUGAGCUGAACCACAGAAGCCCAGCCUGGGAGCAGGGCUCCAGGACUCCCCAAGGAUCAGAAACCUCAAUGAUAAAUUUCCGACUGGAUGAUACACACUACAUCUGUUCUUCAGCGAUGAUGUAUGGUGUGUCUAACAUCUGCCUAUUAGCAGCUGAAUUCCCUUCUAUGACGUGAUACAUAAUGUAUGGUGUGACACAGCUGGGUAAUAAACAAUGUCAGCUGCGUCCUA
rnacentral:antisense_RNA from 1 species